GUCUUCCUGUAGCUCAGUGGUUAGAGCAUCCAACCAGUGUGUGGAAGGGCGGAAGGCCAUGGGUUUGAUUCCCAUUGGGGACU